UCGGUCAGGACCUACCUGUCGCAGUUCCCCAAGGCCAAGCUCAAGCCGGGCGCCCCCCUGCGCCCCAAGCUCAACCCCAAGAAGGCCCGAGCGUACGGCCCUGGCAUCGAGCCCACGGGGAACAUGGUGAAACAACGGGCGGAAUUCACCGUGGAGACCAUCAGCGCCGGGCAGGGUGACGUCCUGGUGUACGUGGAGGACCCGGCCGGGCACCGCGAGGAGGCUAAAGUGGUGCCCAACAACGACAAGAACCGGACGUUCUCCGUGUCCUACGUGCCCAAGGUGACGGGCACACACAAGGUGGGUGC